GACCGCUGCUUUGCGCAGCCAAGGCCACACGGACAGCCGGGUCGAAUGCCGA
rnacentral:sRNA from 1 species